rnacentral:rRNA from 1 species
CAGAAUUCGCCCUUAGAGUUUGAUCCUGGCUCAGGAUGAACGCUGGCGGUAUGCUUUACACAUGCAAGUCGUACGAGAGUUUUUAACUCAAGUGGCGGACGGGUGAGUAACACGUAAGAAUUUGCCUUUAGGAGGGGGAUAACAACUGGAAACGGUUGCUAAUACCCCAUAUGCUUUCGAGUAAAAUGGAUUUUCCGCCUAAAGAGAAGCUUGCGGCUGAUUAGCUUGUUGGUGAGGUAAUGGCUCACCAAGGCGACGAUCAGUAUCUGGUUUGAGAGGACGAUCAGACACACUGGAACUGAGACACGGUCCAGACUCCUACGGGAGGCAGCAGUGGGGAAUUUUCCGCAAUGGGCGAAAGCCUGACGGAGCAAUACCGCGUGAGGGAUGACGGCCUAUGGGUUGUAAACCUCUUUUUUCAGGGAGGAAUCAAUGACGUGUACCUGAAGAAUAAGCAUCGGCUAACUCCGUGCCAGCAGCCGCGGUAAGACGGAGGAUGCAAGUGUUAUCCGGAAUCACUGGGCGUAAAGCGUCUGUAGGUGGUCAAAUAAGUCAACUGUUAAAUCUUGAGGCUCAACCUCAAAAUCGCAGUCGAAACUAUUCGACUAGAGUAUAGUAGGGGUAAAGGGAAUUUCCAGUGGAGCGGUGAAAUGCGUAGAGAUUGGAAAGAACACCGAUGGCGAAGGCACUUUACUGGGCUAUUACUAACACUGAGAGACGAAAGCUAGGGUAGCAAAUGGGAUUAGAUACCCCAGUAGUCCUAGCCGUAAACAAUGGAUACUAGAUGUUGAACAGAUCGACCUGUGCAGUAUCAAAGCUAACGCGUUAAGUAUCCCGCCUGGGAAGUAUGCUCGCAAGAGUGAAACUCAAAUGAAUUGACGGGGAAGGGC